UAGUAUGUGAAUUUGUUUUGUGGGGAUAACAUAUUGGAAAAGGAGAUGGAGGGACAGCAAGAAGCCCAGAAGAUGGUAAGAGAAGUGAUGAAGCAUGCACUUUGGAAAAGCAUGAACAAUGGGAUGAUGUUCAAAAAGCAAAUGUGAAGGAAUGGAAGGUGGGGAAGCUUUUCUGAAAAAAGAACAUCUAUGAAUUAAGAAGGGCUAUUUCUAUAGCAGAGUUUCUCUCAGUAAAAGUCUAAUCAUCAUGAACAUAAACUCACAUCCACGACAAAGGGAUUCAUGAUUUUGAUUGAAAUUGAUACAUCCAAAAAAUUUUAAAGUGGC
rnacentral:lncRNA from 1 species